GACAGAGGGUGCAAACGUUGUUCGGAUUUACUGGGCGUAAAGCGUGUGUAGGCGGCUUGGCAAGUUGGAUGUGAAAGCCCACGGCUCAACCGUGGAAGCGCAUCCAAAACUGCUUCGCUCGAGUCUCGGAGAGGAAGGUGGAAUGCUUGGUGUAGAGGUGAAAUUCGUAGAUAUCAAGCAGAACACCUGCGGCGAAGGCGGCCUUCUGGACCAAUACUGACGCUGAGGAGCGAAAGCCAGGGGAGCAAACGGG
rnacentral:rRNA from 1 species